AACUGAAGCUAGGUCGGCCACUGGGGCCAAGAUUGACGGAUUUGGCGCCUAGCAAUUUGGGCUGGCGAAGCAGCGGCGCUCCAAGCAGCUGAUCCGUCGCAGCACAGAGCGAGGGAGCAGAGACGCAGAAAAAAUUCAGAGAGGCUCGACCUUCGCGGGCAGCCGGAUCGACGUCG